GGUGUGGAUAAUAGGAAGGCCUACCAUGAGUGUGGGUGGCACCAUCCAAAAGCCUUGUAGCCUGGAUGGGAUAAAAGAGAGAGGCUUACUUCAUUGCUUGCUGCUUCCUACAUGCCCUGCCACUGACUGUUUCUCUUCAACCAUGCCAUAUUCCCUUGGAGCCAGCCAACUAUAGACUGAAACCUCUGCAAAUGCUCCUGCCUUAUUCCCAAGUAAGCAACUCAACUUUCUGCAAAUUACUCCUCCAACUUCUACAACUCCGCUACCUGGAAAAUGUGCAACUCUCUGAAGAUGAGUAACCAAGCAAGCUGUUCUAAUCAGAGACAUUCCAUAGCCUGUUUGUUGCUUGGAGAAGGGGUGCAGUGUGAGUGAGGCAGUCUCGUCCCAUGAUGGAAUUGAGAUGUGAAAUUUGGGAACUGUCAGUGAUCAUAUCUCUGCCACAUGGAGAAAGCCUGGCUCAAUGUGAGGAAAACACUGGCACAGAGUAAAAAGACAGAAAGCAAGUGAGAGAAAGAAAGUGAGAAGCAGAGACCUGGCAUCAUUCAGGCUCCUGGUACUGUUUGGUUGUUCGGCUCCAAGUGGACGUUUGUCUUUCAUGUGGUCACAUGUUCACCCCUUCUUCAGAUUUUUCAAGGCUCUUAAAGGAUUGAGUGAUACCAACCUACACUGGAAAAGGUCAUCUACUUUCCUCAGUCCUUAGUCCACGGAUGCAAAUGCUAACCUCAUCCAGAAACACCCUCACAGAUGCACCCAGAAAUGAUGCUUUGUGUGGAAACCCCCUGCAACAGUCAAAGGGACGUAUCAAUUAACCACCACACCUCAACAUAAGAACAAUGAAUUCUUCCCAGGAGAUCCAGAGGGAGCAAGAAAAGGAAGACGACAUUUGGAGAACGAAGGAGACAUUGGCAAGGAAAAAGCAGAAGGUUAUUUUAGUGGCAAGUCCUCAGCAACAUGGAAGUCUGGGACAUUCUGAGAAAUAAACCGCUGCGGGGAGAGAGAAGGAAUGUGUACAUGUAUGCAUGUUUUCUUUGGAGGGUGAGGAAGAGGGGGAAGAAGAUGGGAGGAAUGAAAUCAUACAGAGGGUUACAAACAUUUAUUUCAGUUCUCAUCUGUUUCAAUUAUAUCAUACAAAAGUUUCUAUAUGCUGCCUAUUGUGAUGAUAAGUGGAAAUUUCUCCAUGAUAGAGUUGUUCCACUCAGCAUAGUAGCCUCUAGCCACUUAUGGCUGUUUUAUUUGGAUUUAAAUUAGCUUAAAUUAAAAUAAUUUAAAAGAUGCAUUCCUCAGUCACACUAGCCACAUUUCAAAAGCUCAAAGCCCACAUGUGUCUACUGGCUGUUGGACAGUACAGAUAUAAAACAUUUAGAUCAUCACAGAACAUUUUACUGGAUGCACAUAGUGGACCUCUACAACUCAGUUUUUUGCAGUAUCAUUUCUGUUCCAUGAUCCCAAAGAUCAUUGGCCAAGGAACUGAAUGAGAAAAUAUUGGGCCGUUCCUGGAAUAUAUGAGCACUUUUGCAAAAGUACCUCAGAUAUUUGCUUUGCAUCCUUUGCAUAAAAUCAAAGUCCUGCAUGUGGAGAGCUGUGAUAAUCCCUGCAUUUCAUUUGAAAACAAAUUUAAAGGCUAAGUGAGAGAGAUGAUUAUCAAAAGGUGAUGGAAUUGCACUGCUGGAUUCAAAUUUCGUCCUGUCACUCAGUAGAACACCUUAGCCUCUUGAUAGCUUAGUUAUUCCGCUUAUAAAAUGAAUAUAAUAAUAGCAUUUUCCAUAAAGCUGAUGUAAAGAUCAUACUAGGAAGAACAUGUAAAGAAUUCAAUUAGUACUUGGUGGACCAUAUACAUUUUAGCUAAUAUUAUUACUAAUCAGCUCUUUUUUUUUUUUUUUUUUUGCCAAAUAGGCACUACAGAACUCUGGGCUGGGCUGGCUUUCUAUUUCUGAAUGUACUCUCUUACAUGAUAGGCACUUAAUAUCUAUUGCUACUUGUUUUUGUUGUCAUCCUUGCCCUUCAGCGGGCAGUACCUCCAGAAGGUGAUUAGCACUAAUCUCACAAAGCUGGUGAAUCAGUUUGUGGAAUGCAUUUUUCAUGCAGAUAGAGGAUGCUGGCAUUUUAACCUCGUAAUUGCCUUAUUCCUUUUCAAACGUUUUAGCACACAGACUCCAGGAGGAAAAUUAAGAGGUCAUGAGCAGUUACUUUCUGGUGUCUCCUGAGAGUAGAUUGAUGCUGCCUUAUAUUAUCUACCUUUUGGGUCACAGAACACAUUUUACUUACAAGAGGAAUAUUUAUAUUAGCCUGUUCAGACUACUAUAACAAAAUACCAUGAACUGAAUGGCUUAUAUCCAACAUAAAUUUAUUUUUCACAGUUUGGAGGCUGGGACAUCUAAGGUCAAGGAGCCAGCAGACUCAGUGUCUGGUGAGGGCCCAGACUCUGGUUCACAGACAAAACCUCACUGUAUCCUCAUGCGGUGGCAUUGGCAAGCAAGCUCUUUGCAGUCUCAUGUGGGCACAAAUCCCACAUGAGGGCUGGAGCUCAAGUGUAGCUUGCUGAGCAUGUACAAGGCCCUGGGACCAAUCACUAGCAACACACACACACACACAUACACACAUGCAUGCACACGUCAGCACACGCAUAUAUAAAGCCCUGAGUUUGAUUCCUAGCAUCACAUACACACACUCAAAUAUAUAGUUAAGGUCUCAGUUCUUCCCAAAAUUCUCUCUAGAUUCAACACAUUCCCAGUAAAUAUAUAUCUGGACAAGCUUUUAUUGUAGAAAUUGACACAUUGAUUCUAAAAUUCAUAUAUGCAUGCAAAAGAUCUAGAACAGUCAAAACAGUUUUGAAAUAAAGAGCAAAAUCAGGGAACAAACACCACCAGAAAUGACAAUUUAUUAUCAAUCUGUGAUUAUCAAAAAAUCCCAAUUAAAAGUGGGAAAAAUGGGUACAAUAUUUGAACAAAUGUUUCCCUAAAGAUUAUCUAUGGAUAUCAAACAUGCAUGUGAUAUGAUGUCCAACAUCAUUAGUCAUAAGGAAAUGCAAAUCAAAACAUUGAGAUGCUACUAUAUCCCUAGUAAAAUGUCUACAAUUAAAACAAGAUUGAAUAUAUUAAGAGCUGAUGGUGAGGAUAUGGAAGAAAGGGAACAUUCAUACAUUGCUUGGGGAAUAUAAAAUGCUACACCCUUUGGAAAAUAGUUUGUGAAUUUCUUAAAAAAGUAAACACUUGCCAUAUAACCCAACCAUUCUGCCCAUAGGUAUCAACCUAAGAAAAAAGAAAGCUUACAUACACAGUCUUCUACGUGGUUUCUCAUAACCAUUCUAUUUGUAAUACUCAGAAACUGUUAAUUGCAUUAACAUUAGCAGAUGAAUGCAUAAACAAAUUGUGGCAUGUUGAAUAUAAUGAAAAAGCUAUUCAGCAAUAAAAAUAAAUAAAUCAUGAGUAUAUGCAACAAUGUGGGUGAAUCUUAAAAUAACUAUACUUAAAAAGAAGUCAGACCAAAGUAGGUCCUACUGUUUGAUUCCAUUCCUACAGAACUCUAGAAGAUAUAAAAUAAUCUCCAAUAAUCUGGUUGGGGGAGGGAAAUUAGUAAGGGAAGAAAAGGGAGAAAGAGGUUACAAAGAAGCAUGAGGAAAUUUUUUUUUUUGGUACCGGGGGUCGAACUCGGGUCCUUGCCUUUGUGAGGCAGGUGGCAGAACCAUUGAGCCAAACCCCUGGCCCUAAAUUUUUUUAACAUAAUGAGAAUGCUCACUGUCUUGAUUGUAGUGGUGGUUCCGUGGUCAUAUUUAUAUGUUAAAAUGUAUUAAAUUGAUCACUUAAAGUAUGUGCUAUUAAUUAUAUGCUAAUUAAACAUCAAUAAUAAACAUUUUAAGAGCU
ensembl:lncRNA